rnacentral:rRNA from 1 species
UACGGAGGGGGCUAGCGUUGUUCGGAAUUACUGGGCGUAAAGCGCGCGUAGGCGGCUGUUCAAGUCAGAGGUGAAAGCCCGGGGCUCAACCCCGGAACUGCCUUUGAAACUAGAUAGCUAGAAUCUUGGAGAGGUCAGUGGAAUUCCGAGUGUAGAGGUGAAAUUCGUAGAUAUUCGGAAGAACACCAGUGGCGAAGGCGGCCCGCUGGACCGGCAUUGACGCUGAGGUGCGAAAGCGUGGGGAGCAAACAGG